UACGUAGGGUGCGAGCGUUGUCCGGAAUUAUUGGGCGUAAAGGGCUCGUAGGCGGUUUGUCGCGUCGGGAGUGAAAACACUGGGCUUAACUCAGUGCUUGCUUCCGAUACGGGCAGACUAGAGGUAUUCAGGGGAGAACGGAAUUCCUGGUGUAGCGGUGAAAUGCGCAGAUAUCAGGAGGAACACCGGUGGCGAAGGCGGUUCUCUGGGAAUGUCCUGACGCUGAGGAGCGAAAGCGUGGGGAGCAAACAGG
rnacentral:rRNA from 1 species